rnacentral:misc_RNA from 1 species
UACGGAGGAUCCGAGCGUUAUCCGGAAUCAUUGGGUUUAAAGGGUCCGCAGGCGGGCCAGUAAGUCAGUGGUGAAAUCUCUCAGCUCAACUGGGAAACUGCCAAUGAUACUGCUGGUCUUGAAUUCGGUCGAAGUGGGCGGAACGUGUCAUGUAGCGGUGAAAUGCAUAGAUAUGACACAGAACACCGAUAGCGAAGGCAGCUCACUAGGCCUGAAUUGACGCUCAGGGACGAAAGCGUGGGGAGCGAACAGG